rnacentral:rRNA from 1 species
GUCCCGCAACGAGCGCAACCCUCGUUUUUAGUUGCCAAUUUAUUGGGAUUUCUAGAGAGACUGCCGAUGAUAAAUCGGAGGAAGGUGAGGAUGACGUCAAGUCAGCAUGCCCCUUAUGUCCUGGGCCACACACGUGCUACAAUGGCAAAGACAAAGAGUCGCAAAUUCGCGAGAACUAGCUAAUCUCAUAAACUUUGCCCAAGUUCGGAUUGUAGGCUGCAACUCGCCUGCAUGAAGUUGGAAUCGCUAGUAAUCGCUGGUCAGCUAUACAGCGGUGAAUUCGUUCCCGGGCCUUGUACACACCGUCCGUCACACCAUGGGAG